GCUGAGAUUCUGAGAACAU
rnacentral:snRNA from 1 species